GGUGUGCACUGUCCGUCUACAACCCGUCAGGCGACGCCCACGCCAAACGCAAAACUCCCCAGAGACCCCGAAUGAGAAUGCGGUGGCAAACACAAGCGCAGAAACUAUUGUGGCUGUCCAACUACGCGUUUCGGCCCCCUAGGCCUCAUCAGCAGGAUGUGCCCUCAUCGACCGCCGGGGAGGGAGUGAGCCUUCUGGCAGGAGGAGCUAUUUAUAGGAGAAUACUGCAGGGGGCGGGGCUCAAGCUCUCCACUGCAGUGUCGCCAGCGACUUCUCCAAAAUAUUGAUCAAAAAUUAAUCCUACAUGUGUGACGUGUCAUCUUGACGUAUUGUGUGCGUCACACAGUGGACAAACACCCAGUCCCCAGAGGGCCCACGGACGGCAGGGCGCC